rnacentral:rRNA from 1 species
UACGUAGGUGGCAAGCGUUGUCCGGAUUUACUGGGCGUAAAGAGCGCGCAGGCGGUCGGAUAAGUCGAAUGUGAAAGCCCCCGGCUCAACUGGGGAGGGUCAUUCGAUACUGUUCGACUCGAAGGCAGGAGAGGGAAGUGGAAUUCCCGGUGUAGUGGUGAAAUGCGUAGAUAUCGGGAGGAACACCAGUUGCGAAGGCGGCUGACUGGACACAUAUUGACGCUGAGGCUCGAAAGCAUGGGGAGCAAACAGG